CAAUCGGCCCUUUUCAGGGCCAUUAAACGUUGUUAAAAGGUUUAUU
rfam:Aedes aegypti strain Liverpool supercont1.258 genomic scaffold, whole genome shotgun sequence.